rnacentral:miRNA from 1 species
UGGGACCCAAGAGGGGUGAGGA